rnacentral:rRNA from 1 species
GACGAACGCUGGCGGCGUGCUUAACACAUGCAAGUCGAACGGAAAGGCCCCUUCGGGGGUACUCGAGUGGCGAACGGGUGAGUAACACGUGAGUAACCUGCCCUUGACUUCGGGAUAACUUCAGGAAACUGGGGCUAAUACCGGAUAGGAAUCCUUGCUGCAUGGUGGGGGUUGGAAAGCUUCGGCGGUUUUGGAUGGACUCGCGUCUUAUCAGCUUGUUGGUGGGGUAGUGGCUUACCAAGGCUUUGACGGGUAGCCGGCCUGAGAGGGCGACCGGCCACAUUGGGACUGAGAUACGGCCCAGACUCCUACGGGAGGCAGCAGUGGGGAAUAUUGCACAAUGGGCGGAAGCCUGAUGCAGCAACGCCGCGUGCGGGAUGACGGCCUUCGGGUUGUAAACCGCUUUCAGCAGGGGCGAAGCUUGUGGUGACGGUACCUGCAGAAGAAGCACCGGCUAACUACGUG